GCCAGAACGGUCGGCGGUGGUUCCCGCAAGGGAUCAAUAGGGAACGCGGUGCGUUCGCUUCGGCGAGCAAUUCCGUGGCUGCCCCCGCAACUGUGAGCGGCGAGCUUUCGACCAAGAUGCCACUGGGCACCGCGAGGUUCCUGGGAAGGCGGGCGGAGGCUGGGACCCGCAAGUCAGGAGACCUGCCACCAGCCGCGGUCACGC
rnacentral:ncRNA from 2 species